rnacentral:rRNA from 1 species
UCCGCAGGGGGCCUGCCAAGUCUGUCGUGAAAUCCCGGGGCUCAACCCCGGGUCUGCGGUGGAAACAGGCGGGCUGGAGUGUGUGAGGGGUAGACGGAACACCUGGUGUAGCGGUGGAAUGCGUGGAUAUCAGGUGGAACACCGAUGGCGAAGGCGGUCUACUGGCACACAACUGACCCUCAGGGACGAAAGCGUGGGUAGCAAACA